ACUUUAGGUGACAUUUCUUCAUAAAGGAUUUGAUGAAACACGCCGUCUUGGACUUAGUAGUGAAACUGAGAAGGUCGUGAGAAAUGUGUCCUCUCUUGGUGAGACAGGAAUGCUGGUUGUUGAUUCCGUGGUGCCGGGUGGCCCUGCAUACAAAAAAUUGGAGCCUGGUGAUAUUCUGAUUUGCAUAAAUGGGGAGGUGAGG